AUUUGAUCUGAAAUCAGGCGGGAUUACCCGCUGAACU
rnacentral:rRNA from 2 species